UACGUAGGGUGCAAGCGUUAAUCGGAAUUACUGGGCGUAAAGCGUGCGCAGGCGGUUUUGUAAGUUUGUCGUGAAAUCCCCGGGCUCAACCUGGGAAUGGCGAUGAAGACUGCAAGGCUAGAAUCUGGCAGAGGGGGGUAGAAUUCCACGUGUAGCAGUGAAAUGCGUAGAGAUGUGGAGGAACACCGAUGGCGAAGGCAGCCCCCUGGGUCAAGAUUGACGCUCAUGCACGAAAGGCG
rnacentral:rRNA from 1 species